rnacentral:rRNA from 1 species
UACGAAGGGAGCUAGCGUUGUUCGGAAUCACUGGGCGUAAAGCGCACGUAGGCGGAUUUGUAAGUCAGGGGUGAAAUCCCGGGGCUGAACCUCGGAACUGCCUUUGAUACUGCAAAUCUCGAGUCCGGAAGAGGUGGGUGGAAUUCCUAGUGUAGAGGUGAAAUUCGUAGAUAUUAGGAAGAACACCGGUGGCGAAGGCGGCCCACUGGUCCGGUACUGACGCUGAGGUGCGAAAGCGUGGGGAGCAAACAGG